ACGCACGCUGGCGGCGUGCUUAACACCUGCAAGUCGAACGGAAAGGCCCUGCUUUUGUGGGGUGCUCGAGUGGCGAACGGGUGAGUAACACGUGAGUAACCUGCCCUUGACUUUGGGAUAACUUCAGGAAACUGGGGCUAAUACCGGAUAGGAGCUCCUGCUGCAUGGUGGGGGUUGGAAAGUUUCGGCGGUUGGGGAUGGACUCGCGGCUUAUCAGCUUGUUGGUGGGGUAGUGGCUUACCAAGGCUUUGACGGGUAGCCGGCCUGAGAGGGUGACCGGCCACAUUGGGACUGAGAUACGGCCCAGACUCCUACGGGAGGCAGCAGUGGGGAAUAUUGCACAAUGGGCGAAAGCCUGAUGCAGCAACGCCGCGUGCGGGAUGACGGCCUUCGGGUUGUAAACCGCUUUCGCCUGUGACGAAGCGUGAGUGACGGUAAUGGGUAAAGAAGCACCGGCUAACUACGUG
rnacentral:rRNA from 1 species